GGCCGCCGUUACCAUGGAAACUGCAAAAAUGUAAAAAAAAAUCAAAAUUCUAAAUCUUUCGUUAUAAGAGUCAACCUAAUGAAAGUUUAUGUAAAUGUUGGCAGUGGUGCCCUGAGGUACCAACAGUACUUGGAAUUUUCAAAAUGGCUGCUAUUGCCAUGGAAACUUGAGAAAAGUUUAACAUUGAUCCUAUGGGAAAAAACAUCAAAGCAGCAUUUUUUUUAAGGAAUAUAAGAUCAAAGUGGAACAAAUUUCAUGUAUAUAUAUAACAUGGCAUAAGUCAAUG
rnacentral:lncRNA from 1 species